rnacentral:rRNA from 1 species
UACAGAGGGUGCGAGCGUUGCUCGGAAUUACUGGGCGUAAAGGGCGCGUAGGCGGGUCGUCAAGUUGGGGGUGAAAGCCCAGGGCUCAACCUUGGAACUGCCUUCAAAACUGACGAUCUAGAGUAUGGAAGAGGUAAGUGGAACUCCGAGUGUAGAGGUGAAAUUCGUAGAUAUUCGGAAGAACACCAGUGGCGAAGGCGACUUACUGGUCCAUGACUGACGCUGAGGCUCGAAAGCGUGGGGAGCAAACAGG